GGAGUCUGGGCCGUAUCUCAGUCCCAAUGUGGCCGUUCAACCUCUCAGUCCGGCUACUGAUCGCAGCCUUGGUGAGCCGUUACCCCACCAACUAGCUAAUCAGAUGUGAGCCCAUCUUUCAGCGGAUUGCUCCUUUGGUACAUCAGGGAUGCCCCCAUUGUACGUUAUGCGGUAUUAGCAGUCGUUUCCAACUGUUGUCCCCCUCUGAAAGGCAGGUUGCUCACACAUUACUCACCCGUCCGCCACUAAGUCAAAGGAAACUUUGACGAAUCUCCGCUUCCAGUGCUUCGUUCGACUUGCAUGUGUUAGGCACGCCGCCAGCGUUCAUC
rnacentral:rRNA from 1 species